CCUUGCUAGCAAUCCGGCAUUUCAUCUCCAAGGAAGUUAUCCCAGAGAGAAGUAAAGCAAGUGUGGAAGAGGUACUUUUAACCUGCACAGACUCAGCGAGUCCGUCACUAGUACCUGCAUGGGGAUGAAUAGCAGCUGUAGAUCAGGGCCAGCGCUGCUCCGAGAGAGGUAAACAACAACAAGGCUGCAGGACGGGAAGACCAUCGCCGAACGCUGGCGAAACGUGGG